rnacentral:tRNA from 1 species
AGCUGGGUAGGUUAAAGUUAAACCAUGGUAUUGCAAAUGCUGAGAUGAGUAGUUUUCCGCUCG